GGUUAAGUGACUAAGCGUACACGGUGGAUGCCUGGGCAGUCAGAGGCGAUGAAGGACGUACUAACUUGCGAUAAGCGCAGAUAAGGCAGUAAGAGCCGUUUGAGUCUGCGAUUUCCGAAUGGGGAAACCCAACUGCAUAAGCAGUUACUGUUAACUGAAUACAUAGGUUAACAGAGCAAACCGGGGGAACUGAAACAUCUAAGUACCCCGAGGAGAAGAAAUCAACCGAGAUUCCGGUAGUAGCGGCGAGCGAACCUGGAUUAGCCCUUAAGCACUCGGUGAAGUAGGUGAACAAGCUGGAAAGCUUGGCGAUACAGGGUGAUAGCCCCGUAACCGACGCUUCAUCGAGCGUGAAAUCGAGUAGGGCGGGAC
rnacentral:rRNA from 1 species